rnacentral:rRNA from 1 species
UACGAGGGGGGCAAGCGUUGUUCGGAAUUAUUGGGCGUAAAGGGCGCGUAGGCGGUGCGGUAAGUCUGAUGUGAAAUCUCCGGGCUCAACUCGGAGUCUGCAUCAGAAACUGCCGUGCUCGAGUGUGGGAGAGGUGAGUGGAAUUCCCGGUGUAGCGGUGAAAUGCGUAGAUAUCAGGAGGAACACCUGUGGCGAAAGCGGCUCACUGGACCAUAACUGACGCUGAUGCACGAAAGCUAGGGGAGCAAACAGG